UACAGAGGUCCCAAGCGUUGUUCGGAUUCACUGGGCGUAAAGGGUGCGUAGGCGGUCGGGUAAGUCUGAUGUGAAAUCUCACAGCUUAACUGUGAAACUGCAUUGGAUACUAUUCGGCUAGAGAGUUGGAGGGGGGACUGGAAUUCUCGGUGUAGCAGUGAAAUGCGUAGAUAUCAGGAGGAACACCGGUGGCGAAGGCGGGUCUCUGGGCAGUAACUGACGCUGAGGAGCGAAAGCGUGGGGAGCGAACAGG
rnacentral:rRNA from 1 species